UCUCACACACACACACACACACACACACACACACACUCAAGUACACUUUAAUUACGGCCCGAGCACUGACAGUGGGAGGCCCUAUUGAAAUUGUAAUGAUUAUUAUUAUUAUUAUUCAGGCAAAUGAAUUGGCUUUUUGAGGGCUUUAACAUGCUCAAAUUCUUACCAAAAUUAGCAGAAAGUUAGAAAGUGGUGAAAAUGUAUGUAUUCUGGAGGAAUUUCCAUUUGGGGUCCAAAAUUUCUCAAUGGUGCCCCCGAGACCCCCGGAACGUGUUCACAUUGACCGAUCUUCACAAAAACAAAUUGAACUAGGACUACGUUGUAGCACUAACGGGCCCGAGCACAGGCAAUUUCAAGUCUGUUGCGGUCGGGGAAGAGAGAACGUUCGAUGACCAAGCGCUCAUCUCCACAUUGCCUGCGUUUGCCCUGUGCGGCAAGGAUGAUCGCUCCACUUCUUCUGGCCAGCCGCUGGUGCUGAACUAGAGGUAAGUAACCUUCAAACUAUCCAACAUAAUCUAUUGCUUUAUCUAUCAUCAUAUGCUUACAUGCCUCAAGUUUUUUGUAAUAUGUAAUUGUUAUAAAAGUUACCGUUUAUUUAUCACGUCUAAUGAACAGAUUGAAGCAAGAAACUCCACAGUCUUGUUUUGGUUGUGACAUUAUUUUUUUAAUAAGUUACUAUCAAUACGCUACACGUGUACGUUUCAUGUGAUAGUAACUGUUUCACCAAUAUUCUGAUACAGGAUGGUAUAUCCGCCAUUACUAUUUUCACAUCGUUUAUUUAGUCUGUCUUGGAGUUGUAGAGUGAAUUAGACAGUAGUGAUAAGAUUAUAAUGUCCACACAUCAGUGUUGUAAACACUUCUCCAAUUAAUUAUAUAAUUAUGUUUUCACACUGAGGGAAGUGGAGAGACUUGAUGUGGACUGUUAUCAACAGCUCUGUGGGAGAUCAUCACCUUGAAUAUUACAGAUGAGGACACACAGAGCAGUGAGCGACCAUGUACGGCGCUCGGGUAGCAGAUGUUGGGGGAGUGAGGUGCCUUGCUCAUGGGCACUAGAGAGGAUGAAGAACCGCAGCACCUGAUGUCCUCAGCAGCAACAUGGUGGAGAUCUGAUUUGAUACACUUUAGAUAAGAACCCAGUGUUUUAUAUUUCUGCUUUGCCAUAAGAGACAGAACAUGGUCAUCACAGCUGUGUCCUUCAGGCUCGUCUGUCCCUAAUAAAAUGAUAGGAAACAUGAAAGUGAUCGUCAUUAUUGUAGAGGAAGAGUUACAUAUGAACAAAGUGUGUAAUCUUAUUUUCUGUGGAUAUUCAACUGUGUAUUUGAAUAUGCUUUUGGAUUAAAACGUGCACU